rnacentral:rRNA from 1 species
AGAGUUUGAUCCUGGCUCAGGAUGAACGCUGGCGGCGUGCCUAAUACAUGCAAGUCGAACGCUUCACAUAUGUGAAGAGUGGCGAACGGGUGAGUAAUACAUAAGUAACCUGGCCUUUACAGGGGGAUAACUAUUGGAAACGAUAGCUAAGACCGCAUAGGUGUCAUAACCGCAUGGAGAUGAUAUGAAAUAUGCUACGGCAUAGGUAGAGGAUGGACUUAUGGCGCAUUAGCUAGUUGGAGGGGUAACGGCCCACCAAGGCGACGAUGCGUAGCCGACCUGAGAGGGUGACCGGCCACACUGGGACUGAGACACGGCCCAGACUCCUACGGGAGGCAGCAGUAGGGAAUCUUCGGCAAUGGGGGCAACCCUGACCGAGCAACGCCGCGUGAGUGAAGAAGGUUUUCGGAUCGUAAAGCUCUGUUGUAAGUCAAGAACGAGUGUGAGAGUGGAAAGUUCACACUGUGACGGUAGCUUACCAGAAAGGGACGGCUAACUACGUGCCAGCAGCCGCGGUAAUACGUAGGUCCCGAGCGUUGUCCGGAUUUAUUGGGCGUAAAGCGAGCGCAGGCGGUUUGAUAAGUCUGAAGUUAAAGGCUGUGGCUCAACCAUAGUUCGCUUUGGAAACUGUCAAACUUGAGUGCAGAAGGGGAGAGUGGAAUUCCAUGUGUAGCGGUGAAAUGCGUAGAUAUAUGGAGGAACACCGGUGGCGAAAGCGGCUCUCUGGUCUGUAACUGACGCUGAGGCUCGAAAGCGUGGGGAGCGAACAGGAUUAGAUACCCUGGUAGUCCACGCCGUAAACGGUGGAUGCUGGAUGUGGGGACCAUUCCACGGUCUCCGUGUCGGAGCCAACGCGUUAAGCAUCCCGCCUGGGGAGUACGGCCGCAAGGCUAAAACUCAAAGAAAUUGACGGGGGCCCGCACAAGCGGCGGAGCAUGCGGAUUAAUUCGAUGCAACGCGAAGAACCUUACCUGGGCUUGACAUGUUCCCGACAGCCGUAGAGAUACGGUCUCCCUUCGGGGCGGGUUCACAGGUGGUGCAUGGUCGUCGUCAGCUCGUGUCGUGAGAUGUUGGGUUAAGUCCCGCAACGAGCGCAACCCUCGCCCUGUGUUGCCAGCACGUCAUGGUGGGAACUCACGGGGGACCGCCGGGGUCAACUCGGAGGAAGGUGGGGAUGACGUCAGAUCAUCAUGCCCCUUACGUCCAGGGCUUCACGCAUGCUACAAUGGCCGGUACAACGGGAUGCGACACUGUGAGGUGGAGCGGAUCCCUUAAAACCGGUCUCAGUUCGGAUUGGAGUCUGCAACCCGACUCCAUGAAGGCGGAGUCGCUAGUAAUCGCGGAUCAGCAACGCCGCGGUGAAUGCGUUCCCGGGCCUUGUACACACCGCCCGUCAAGUCAUGAAAGUGGGUAGCACCCGAAGCCGGUGGCCCAACCUUUUGGGGGGAGCCGUCUAAGGUGAGACUCGUGAUUGGGACUAAGUCGUAACAAGGUAGCCGUACCGGAAGGUGCGGCUG